GACGAACGCUGGCGGCGUGCUUAACACAUGCAAGUCGAGCGGAAAGACCACGACGGUGGUACUCUAGCGGUGGAGGGGGGAGUAAGACGUAAGUAAUCUGCACCUCACUUUGGGAUAGCGACAGGAAACGGUGACUAAUACCGAAAAUGACCAUAAGUCGCAAGGGGUGUGGUGGAAAGUUGUUCGGUGAGGGAUGGUCUCGCGGCGUAUCAGCUUGAUGGUGAGGUAAUGGCGGACAAGGGCUUCGACGGGUAGGCGGCAUGAGAGGGUGAACGGUCACCCUGGUCCUGCGACACGGACCAGAAUCCUACGGGAGGCAGCAGUGGGGAAUCUUGGACAAUGGGCGGACGUCUGAUAUAGCAACGUUGCGUGCGUGAUGACGGCUUUCGGGUUGUAAACCUCUUUCUGUACCGACGAAGCGGUAUUGACGGUACCUACAGAAGAAGCACCGGCCAACUACGUG
rnacentral:rRNA from 1 species